rnacentral:misc_RNA from 1 species
GAAAUGCGAUAAGUAGUGUGAAUUGCAGAAUUCCGUGAAUCAUCGAAUCUUUGAACGCACAUUGCGCCCUCUGGUAUUCCGGGGGGCAUGCCUGUCCGAGCGUCAUUACGCACCCUCAAGCGCGGCUUGUGUGUUGGGCCCCCGCGUCCCCGCGUUCCGGGGGACGGGCCCGAAAGGCAGUGGCGGCGUCGCGGUUAUCCGAUCAGCCAGAGCGUAUGGGGACACUGUUCACACGCUCGGGGCGCGGACCGGCGCCGGCCUGGUCACCGAUUCUCUCUCCUCCACGGUUGACCUCGGAUCAGGUAGGGAUACCCGCUGAACUUAA